AGGACGUCCUCUAAAGCAACUUCCGUGGGUGCCAGGUUGUGGGCUGGGGGCGGUGCUGACCUUGAGAGAGCGGAGGAGGCGCAGGCGCAGCACAGUUUAAACUUGAUUUUGUGAGGGGACGAACAGCGUGACAAUUAAAAGAAGAUCUGGGAAUCAAAAGCUUCCUGAGGCCUUCACCAGAAGCAGAUGCUGGUGCCGUGCUUCUACAGCCUGCAGAACUGAAUACCCAUCUCGAGUUCUGGAUAUGUGCUCUGAGAAGGUGCCCAUGUCACCGACCACACUGGAGGCCAAUGCAGAUACUGGGGGAAGGUUCCAUGGUAGCUAAGUGUGGACAAGCUAAUCACUGAAGUUCCCUGAUGCAGAGUUGAUAAUCUCUCUAGAGUUGGAUGAAAGACUGUGCUGCCUUGAAGCUCUGAGAGAUGCCAUGCCAAUUCAAGGCAGGGUCUUUAUUGUUGAAACUCUUGCGUAAUGACAUCUUUAUUCAGGUGAAAAUACAGGAUGAAUUUCAACUAUAUGAUAUUGUUUAUGUUCCUCAGACAUGUUAUUUGUCUUUACAAAGAUUGGUUUCAAUAAACUGUGUGACUGAUAUUAAAUAAACAUGGAAUUUUACACAUUCAUAA
rnacentral:lncRNA from 10 species